UUCACUGUCUAUACCCCUGCAGUUCAGACUAGGUAAUCUGUCUGAAACUAAGCAGGUUUGGGCCUGACCAGUACUUCGACGGGAGACCAACUUAGGAAAACUGCGUUGCUGUUGGAA
rnacentral:rRNA from 1 species